rnacentral:rRNA from 1 species
GAUGAACGCUGGCGGCGUGCCUAAUACAUGCAAGUCGAGCGAACGGACGAGAAGCUUGCUUCUCUGAUGUUAGCGGCGGACGGGUGAGUAACACGUGGAUAACCUACCUAUAAGACUGGGAUAACUUCGGGAAACCGGAGCUAAUACCGGAUGAUAUUUUGAACCGCAUGGUUCAAAAGUGAAAGACAGUCUUGCUGUCACUUAUAGAUGGAUCCGCGCUGCAUUAGCUAGUUGGUAAGGUAACGGCUUACCAAGGCAACGAUGCAUAGCCGACGUGAGAGGUUGUCGGCCGACCGUAAAGCUGAGAAAAGUCCCAGACGCCUACGGAAGGAACAAGUAGGAAAUCUUCCGCAAGGGCCGAAAGCUUGACGGAGCACCCCCGCGUGAGUGAUGAAGGUCUUCGGACCGUAAAACUCUGUUAUUAGGGAAGAACAUAUGUGUAAUUAACUGUGCACAUCUUGACGGUACCUAAUCAGAAAGCCACGGCUAACUACGUG